rnacentral:rRNA from 1 species
GAUGAACGCUAGCUACAGGCUUAACACAUGCAAGUCGAGGGGUAACGAGAGGGAAGCUUGCUUUCCUUGUCGACGACCGGCGCACGGGUGAGUAACGCGUAUCCAACCUGCCCCCAACUAGGGAAUAACCUUGCGAAAGUAAGACUAAUACCCUAUAAUUUCCUCAGAUGUCAUCUGACGAGGAAUAAAGAUUUAUCGGUUGUGGAUGGGGAUGCGUCUGAUUAGCUUGUUGGCGGGGUAACGGCCCACCAAGGCAACGAUCAGUAGGGGUUCUGAGAGGAAGGUCCCCCACAUCGGAACUGAGACACGGUCCAAACUCCUACGGGAGGCAGCAGUGAGGAAUAUUGGUCAAUGGGCGGAAGCCUGAACCAGCCAAGUAGCGUGCAGGAUGACGGCCCUAUGGGUUGUAAACUACUUUUAUACAGGAAUAAAGUUAGCCACGUGUGGUUAUUUGUAGGUACUGUAUGAAUAAGGACCGGCUAAUUCCGUGCCAGCCGCCGCGGUAA